ACUCACAACCUGUGAGGCAUUUGAUUUGAAAUCAAAUAGUUUGCUUUUAUUAGCAAUGUGGGUU
rnacentral:tRNA from 3 species